rnacentral:rRNA from 1 species
CAGCAGCCGCGGUAAUACGUAGGGUGCGAGCGUUAAUCGGAUUUACUGGGCGUAAAGCGUGCGCAGGCGGCCCGUUAAGACAGGUGUGAAAUCCCUGGGCUCAACCUAGGAAUUGCGCUUGUGACUGGCGGGCUCGAGUACGGUAGAGGGGGGUGGAAUUCCUGGUGUAGCAGUGAAAUGCGUAGAGAUCAGGAGGAACACCGAUGGCGAAGGCAGCCCCCUGGGCCUGUACUGACGCUCAUGCACGAAAGCGUGGGGAGCAAACAGGAUUAGAUACCCUGGUAGUCCACGCCCUAAACGAUGGGUACUAGCCGUUUGGUGCGCGAUAGCGCUGAGUGGCGAAGCUAACGCGUGAAGUACCCCGCCUGGGGAGUACGGCCGCAAGGUUGAAACUUAAGGAAUUGGCGGG